rnacentral:rRNA from 1 species
GAUCAACGCUGGCGGCGUGCUUAACACAUGCAAGUCGAACGGGAAACCUUUUAUUGAAGCUUCGGCAGAUUUAGCUGGUUUCUAGUGGCGGACGGGUGAGUAACGCGUGGGUAACCUGCCUUGUACAGGGGGAUAACAGUCAGAAAUGACUGCUAAUACCGCAUAAGCGCACGGAGCUGCAUGGCUCAGUGUGAAAAACUCCGGUGGUAUAAGAUGGACCCGCGUUGGAUUAGCUAGUUGGUGAGGUAACGGCCCACCAAGGCGACGAUCCAUAGCCGGCCUGAGAGGGUGAACGGCCACAUUGGGACUGAGACACGGCCCAGACUCCUACGGGAGGCAGCAGUGAGGAAUAUUGCACAAUGGGGGAAACCCUGAUGCAGCGACGCCGCGUGAAGGAAGAAGUAUCUCGGUAUGUAAACUUCUAUCAGCAGGGAAGAAAAUGACGGUACCUGACUAAGAAGCCCCGGCUAACUACGUGCCAGCCGCCGCAGUAA